GGAUGAAGGCCCUCGGGUUGUAAACUGCUUUUGUACAGAACGAAAAGGUUUCUACUAAUACUAGGAGCUCAUGACGGUACUGUAAGAAUAAGCACCGGCUAACUACGUGCCAGCAGCCGCGGUAAUACGUAGGGUGCAAGCGUUAAUCGGAAUUACUGGGCGUAAAGCGUGCGCAGGCGGUUAUAUAAGUCAGAUGUGAAAUCCCCGGGCUCAACCUGGGAACUGCAUUUGAGACUGUAUAGCUAGAGUACGGCAGAGGGGGAUGGAAUUCCGCGUGUAGCAGUGAAAUGCGUAGAUAUGCGGAGGAACACCGAUGGCGAAGGCAAUCCCCUGGGCCUGUACUGACGCUCAUGCACGAAAGCGUGGGGAGCAAACAGGAUUAGAUACCCUGGUAGUCCACGCCCUAAACGAUGUCAACUGGUUGUUGGGUCUUAACUGACUCAGUAACGAAGCUAACGCGUGAAGUUGAC
rnacentral:rRNA from 1 species